GACGAACGCUGGCGGCGUGCCUAAUACAUGCAAGUCAAACGAAACUUCUUUAUCACCGAGUGCUUGCACUCACCGAUAAAGAGUUGAGUGGCGAACGGGUGAGUAACACGUGGGCAGCCUGCCCAAAAGAGGGGGAUAACACUUGGAAACAGGUGCUAAUACCGCAUAACCAUAGUUACCGCAUGGUAACUAUGUAAAAGGUGGCUAUACUACCGCUUUUGGAUGGGCCCGCGGCGCAUUAGCUAGUUGGUAGGGUAAAGGCUUACCAAGGCAAUGAUGCGUAGCCGAAUUGAGAGGUUGAUCGGCCACAUUGGGACUGAGACACGGCCCAAACUCCUACGGGAGGCAGCAGUAGGGAAUCUUCCACAAUGGGCGAAAGCCUGAUGGAGCAACGCCGCGUGGGUGAAGAAGGUCUUCGGAUCGUAAAACCCUGUUGUUAGAGAAGAAAGUGCGUGAGAGUAACUGUUUACGUUUCGACGGUAUCUAACCAGAAAGCCACGGCUAACUACGUG
rnacentral:rRNA from 1 species